rnacentral:snoRNA from 1 species
GUUGAGGCUAGAGUCACGCUUGGGUAUUGGUGUUGCCUUAACGUGCUAUAGUCCUCAAAGAGUGACUGCUGACCUUAUUCACUGGCUGUGAGCCUUGUGGCACAGUCAGUCACCAGGUUAGCAACAUGC